AUUGAACGCUGGCGGCAGGCCUAACACAUGCAAGUCGAGCGGAGCGGCGGACGGGUGAGUAAUGCCUAGGAAUCUGCCUGGUAGUGGGGGAUAACGUCCGGCAACGGGAGCUAAUACCGCAUACUAUCAGAUGAGCCUAGGUCGGAUUAGCUAGUUGGUGGGGUAAAGGCCUACCAAGGCAACGAUCCGUAACGGGUAGGAGAGGAUGAUCAGUAACACUGGACCUGAGACCCGUCCCGAACUCCUCCGGGGGGAAGCAGGGGGGAAUAUUGGACAAGGGGCGAAAGCCUGCUCCAGCCAUGCCGCGUGUGUAAAGAAGGUCUUCGGUUUGUAAAGCACGUUAAGUUGGGAGGCGUUACCAACAGAAUAAGCACCGGCUAACUUCGUGCCAGCAGCCGCGGUAAUAC
rnacentral:rRNA from 1 species